rnacentral:tRNA from 1 species
UCACUGGUGGCUCAGAGGGUAAAGAAUCUGCCUGCAAUGCAGGAGACCCAGGUUCGAUCCCUGGGUCGAGAA